rfam:Gossypium hirsutum cultivar TM-1 chromosome 8, whole genome shotgun sequence
UGUUCAAAUUUUCAUCUAUUUCUAUUGUUAAAAACUAGUGCAGCUGACGGAAUAACUAAACAAUUACACUUGGUAUGCCACAUGUACCUCAUUUCGAUGUACAUGGACCAACUUUAAGUAAUAAAAGUGGAUGAAAUUUUUAACA